AAAGUCGUAACAAGGUCUCCGUUGGUGAACCAGCGGAGGGAUCAUUACAGAGUUUACAACUCCCAAACCCUAUGUGAACAUACCUCUUGUUGCUUCGGCGGACCCGCCCCGGCGUCCGGACGACCUAGCGUCGCCCGCGGCCCGGAUCCAGGCGGCCGCCGGAGACCAUCAAACUCUUUGUAUUAUUAGAAUCUUCUGAAUUCGCCGCAAGGCAAAACAAAUGAAUCAAAACUUUCAACAACGGAUCUCUUGGUUCUG
rnacentral:misc_RNA from 1 species